rnacentral:rRNA from 1 species
UACGUAGGGUGCAAGCGUUAAUCGGAAUUACUGGGCGUAAAGCGUGCGCAGGCGGUUAUGUAAGACAGGUGUGAAAUCCCCGGGCUUAACCUGGGAACUGCAUUUGUGACUGCAUCGCUGGAGUGCGGCAGAGGGGGAUGGAAUUCCGCGUGUAGCAGUGAAAUGCGUAGAUAUGCGGAGGAACACCGAUGGCGAAGGCAAUCCCCUGGGCCUGCACUGACGCUCAUGCACGAAGGCGUGGGGAGCAAACAGG